CAUUUUCUCAAAGAAGUCAGUAAAGGCAAUAGAAUAGCAAUGCAGCUACAAACUAUAAUAGCCUUGAAUAUAGGAUUCGCAAUGUCUACAGAAGGGGGGAGGAAACAGAAUACUCUGACAUACUUCCGGAAUUGCCUGCCCAAUAUUAAAGUCACACUCCAAGCUUUGUCGAACUAAUUAUAUAGAUCCUAUCCGAGACUUCUUAAUCUUCGAAAGCUCACCAUGGGCCCGCCAGACCCAAAGAAGCAAAAACAACGCGCAAGUGCGGCUGCUCCGUGAGGGAGUUCCUCAAAAAGGUAA
rnacentral:sRNA from 1 species